GGGUUAAGUCCCGCAACGAGCGCAACCCUUGUCAUUAGUUGCUACGAAAGGGCACUCUAAUGAGACUGCCGGUGACAAACCGGAGGAAGGUGGGGAUGACGUCAGGUCCUCAUGGCCCUUAUGGGUAGGGCUACACACGUCAUACAAUGGCCGGUACAGAGGGUUGCCAACCCGCGAGGGGGAGCCAAUCCCAGAAAACCGGUCGUAGUCCGGAUCGCAGUCUGCAACUCGACUGCGUGAAGUCGGAAUCGCUAGUAAUCGCGGAUCAGCUUGCCGCGGUGAAUACGUUCCCGGGUCUUGUACACACCGCCCGUCACACCAUGGGAGCGGGUUCUGCCAGAAGUAGUUAGCCUAACCGCAAGGAGGGCGAUUACCACGGCAGGGUUCGUGACUGGGGUGAAGUCGUAACAAGGUAGCCGUAUCGGAAGGUGCGGCUGGAUCACCUCCUUU
rnacentral:rRNA from 1 species